GACGAACGCUGGCGGCGUGCUUAACACAUGCAAGUCGAACGGAAAGGCCCUGCUUUUGUGGGGUGCUCGAGUGGCGAACGGGUGAGUAACACGUGAGUAACCUGCCCUUGACUUUGGGAUAACUUCAGGAAACUGGGGCUAAUACCGGAUAGGAGCUCCUGCUGCAUGGUGGGGGUUGGAAAGUUUCGGCGGUUGGGGAUGGACUCGCGGCUUAUCAGCUUGUUGGUGGGGUAGUGGCUUACCAAGGCUUUGACGGGUAGCCGGCCUGAGAGGGUGACCGGCCACAUUGGGACUGAGAUACGGCCCAGACUCCUACGGGAGGCAGCGGUGGGGAAUAUUGCACAAUGGGCGGAGGCCGGAUGCAGCAACGCCGCGUGCGGGAUGACGGCCUUCGGGUUGUAAACCGCUUUCGCCUGUGACGAAGCGUGAGUGACGGUAAUGGGUAAAGAAGCACCGGCUAACUACGU
rnacentral:rRNA from 1 species